rnacentral:lncRNA from 1 species
CGGGGCCCUGCCCGGGAGCGGAGCGGGGACAAGAUGAAGUACCAGAAAUACCUGACGGUGCUGCAGAUGGCCAUCGGCGUCACCCCGUCCAACCGCGGCAGCCUCCUGCCGCUCAAGAGGAAGCUGUGGGUAACUCCAUCCUCUGAAAACCCCCAUGGUGCUACUUCCAAUGUCAGCCAAGGGAAACCUUCUCUAAGACGAAUUAAAGGGAGACUACAUCGAAGCAAAAGCCUUGACAGUAUCGACUUCUGUGAGCUCACUGUAAGUGGACUGGCUCUGCUUUUCUUAUCUUUUAAAAAAUAGGAAGUGUUUAUUGGAAGUGUUUAUUGUAUUUUUCUGAUAAGUGCAGCAAGCUUGUUCUGUGGCAAUCUAUUCUUUAAAUGACGUACCUUCCAGCAGACCAUUUAAAGCCAAUGAAGAUGCUUUACUAACUAGUACCAGUCUGAUACCUUCAGAAUGAAUGGUUCAUAAUGAAGAUUCCUCUGCAAAGAUGAAAGUCCCGAACAUUCCAGAAAAAUAAAUAAACGAAUUGAGAGGCUGGGACGGGGAGAUGGCUCGGUGGUUAAUGUGCUACCACACAAGCCUGAAGGCUGGGCUUCAGAUCCUAGAACUCAAGCAAACGUUCCAUCAUUUCAGCCUCAGAAGGACAGGUGAGCAUGCAGAC